GAUGAACGCUGGCGGCGUGCCUAAUACAUGCAAGUCGAGCGAACAGAUAAGGAGCUUGCUCCUUUGACGUUAGCGGCGGACGGGUGAGUAACACGUGGGUAACCUACCUAUAAGACUGGGAUAACUUCGGGAAACCGGAGCUAAUACCGGAUAAUAUUUCGAACCGCAUGGUUCGAUAGUGGAAGAUGGUUUUGCUAUCACUUAUAGAUGGACCCGCGCCGUAUUAGCUAGUUGGUAAGGUAACGGCUUACCAAGGCGACGAUACGUAGCCGACCUGAGAGGGUGAUCGGCCACACUGGAACUGAGACACGGUCCAGACUCCUACGGGAGGCAGCAGUAGGGAAUCUUCCGCAAUGGGCGAAAGCCUGACGGAGCAACGCCGCGUGAGUGAUGAAGGUCUUCGGAUCGUAAAACUCUGUUAUUAGGGAAGAACAUACGUGUAAGUAACUGUGCACGUCUUGACGGUACCUAAUCAGAAAGCCACGGCUAACUACGUG
rnacentral:rRNA from 1 species